rnacentral:tRNA from 1 species
GGCUCCUUGGUCAAGCGGUUAAGACACCGCCCUUUCACGGCGGUAACACGGGUUCGAGUCCCGUCGGGGUCA